rnacentral:piRNA from 1 species
UGCAAGAGCCAAGGUAAAGCCUAGAGCU